GACAGAGGGGGCAAGCGUUGCUCGGAAUCACUGGGCGUAAAGGGCGCGUAGGCGGGAUGACAAGUCGGUCGUGAAAUCCCUGGGCUCAACUCAGGGGGGUCGGCCGAUACUGCCAUUCUUGAGGGAUGCAGAGGAGACUGGAAUUCCCGGUGUAGCGGUGAAAUGCGCAGAUAUCAGGAAGAACACCAAUGGCGAAGGCAGCUCUCUGGGACGGUACUGACGCUGAGACGCGAAAGCGUGGGGAGCGAACAGG
rnacentral:rRNA from 1 species